AGGACGAACGCUGGCGGCGUGCUUAACACAUGCAAGUCGAGCGGAAAGGCCCUUCGGGGUACUCGAGCGGCGAACGGGUGAGUAACACGUGAGCAACCUGCCCUUAGCUCCGGGAUAGCUCCGGGAAACCGGAAUUAAUACCGGAUACAACCACGGCCGACAUCUGCUGUGGUGGAAAGGAUUCCGGCUAAGGAUGGGCUCGCGGCCUAUCAGCUAGUUGGUGGAGUAACGGCCCACCAAGGCGACG
rnacentral:rRNA from 1 species